AAAAUUGAAUUUGAAAUCCAUUUACCAAACACACUCUAAAUAUGCAUUCAAUGUUAUGUGUCACACAAACAGUAUUAAUAAGUAAAACUACGUAAUUUUGCAUUGGACAGAAAAAUGGACAAAUAUAAUGGACAUAGGAUCCCAUCUCCUCAAAAACUCUCACUUUUAAGACAAAUCUAUCUUUGAGAAUUGUUUUAAGAAAUUAGCCGGAUAUCACGGGAGUUUGUCUCUCUGUGCCCAUAGAAUAAGCUUUUUCUCACAUGGAUAUCUUAAGAGUUUUCUUUCCUAGUGCCCAUAGAGUAAGCUUUUUUCUCAUUGCAACAUCCACUACUACUCAUCCAUCUACAUCGUCCUUAUCCCAUUGUUGAUCAUCAAAUAAGUCCUCAGAUGGGUCGUUAACAAUCAUAUAUAUUAGGGAAAAGUUCCAAGAAGUCAUCUUUUAUUUUUUCCCUCAAUUCUGGAUAUGGGAGGAGCCCCUUCAAGAUCACUCUAUAAGGCAAUGAUAGCAGGGGAUCAGGAGAUAGCCUCAUUUUCUCGUAUAUGUCCAUUGCUUCCUUCGGUAGUCCACUGUCUAAGAAGGCCCUAAUGAGGUCACCAAAGGUGCGCUGAUCAAAAAGCACGCCUUCCCUCUUCAAGUCAUCCCAUACACUCCUGGCUUCGUCUACCCUUUUAUUUCUCGCUAGCAUCAUUAGUGUACAACCCACGAUUUUUGGGCUCAUUUUUGUUAUCUUGUCCACUUAAAUUAAAUGGUAAUUUACCAUGGGUAAAAGCAAAAAUAAUUUCAGGUUAGGUUAAAGGGUUAAUUAAGAGGUAGGAUGAGAUAAGAUAGGGUAAAAGUUCACAAUAGUUAAAACUCCUAUCUAAACCACCUACUAGUGGGUGGUUAUUAGGGUUUAGCAUACUUAUCAAAAUAACAAAGAAAAGAAAAAUAACAUUUUUUCUACCUUUCAUUAUUUGCCUACCCUAGAAUAAGAACCGUCAGAGAGUAGAGAAGGAAAAGCAGGCAUCGCCGUCAAUCAAUCGGGAGACUAGGCACCUAAACCUGUAUUCUCAAAUUCCCGCGAAACUUCCCUUUUAAGUUAUAUUAGUUGCAUUAAUUAUUCUAGAGAUUUUACGGAUAUGCAAUGUUGUUAUAUAUAUGUAGAUAUAUAUGUUUCUAUAAGAAAUUUAGGAGGAUUCAUAUUUGGGUUAGUGGAAAUAGGGUGUUAGAUUUUAAUCUUUGGAUAAGUAGAUUGCCCAAAUCUGUUGAAGAAAAGAAAAAAAAAAAAAAAAAAGAGAAGCCGCCGCUGCUCUGUUUUGGCUAGGCAUUGCAGAUAGAGCUGUUAAUCGAACCGGGCAGCUCGCGAGCCGAGCUCGACCCGGCUCGAUAAGGGCUCGACUCGGCUCGUUUAUUGAGAGAAACGAGCCGAGCUCGAGUUUAACUUGAUGCUCGUUUAAUAGACGAGCCGAGCAUAGCUCGGUUCGUUUAAGCUCGAUAGGCUCGAAUAGUAGGGGUAUUAGUGUCAUUUCAUUAUGUAUUUGAUACUCUACAGGCUCGAUAGGCUCGAGUUCGAACUCGAAAUUGCUUGAAUAGUAAGGGUAUUAGCGUCAUUUUAAUUGUGUAUUUGAUAUUCUACAGGCUCGACAAGCUCGAGUUCGAGCUCGAUAAGCUCGACUCGAUUUUGAACUCGGGUUCGAGCUCGAGCUCGAGUUUUCUACCGAGCACAUCGAGUCGAUCUCGAAUAGUUUGUGAAGCUCGAAUUACUAAUCGAGCGAGCUCGAGUUGGCUCGAUUAGGGGUUCGAGUCGAGCUCGAUUAUCACAUGCUCGAGCUCGACUCGGCUCGUUAACAGCACUAAUUGCAGAAGCAACGCAACAGGGAAAAAAAAACGAAAGGAAUUGCAAGAAUUGCAAGGGUUGGCCGAGGCCAACCCAAGACCAGAAAAAAAAAAAGGGGAAAGGAAAGGAGAUGAUAGGCAUAGUAUAUGGUUGGCCUUUUUGGCCAACCAAUGGGAGGAAUGGUCGCCAGAGGUCAAACAACUGGUUGGCCUUUUUGGUCAACCAUGGGUCCAAUCUGAGAAGGGAAAAAAAAAGGGACAAAUUAAAUGUAGAUCAAACUAUAAUAUAAAAUUAGUAAAUGUUUAAUAAAUACAUUUUAAAUAUAACUAGUCCAUUUUUUUUAUAGUUUAUUUUCAGGACCCAAUCUAAAGUGGUAGUUAGAACUGAAGGGUUAGUUAUUUAAAAUUAUACUUAAUUGAUUAAGUCUAAGAUACUUAAAUAGAAAUUUAAAACAUCUUAAUCUAACCUUAUAAGACAAUGUAAGAUAAGUUCUAGAUUGUUAAACGAAUUGCUUAACACCAUGAUGAUGAUGAUAAUAAUAAUAAUAAUAAUAGUAAUUAAUAAUUAAUAAAAUAAUGAUAGUAAGAUUAAUAACCAUAUAGACAUGGAGGAAAUACAUUAAGGAUAUAAAUGAAAAUAAAAGUAUAAAUACAAGUGCAAUAAACUAAGGCAAUAAUUAUAAUAAUAAGUCAAUAUAUAUAGGUACAUGUAUACAUAAAUAUUAAUAAUACCUACACACCCACAAAAGUGAAAAUAAAGCGAAAGAUAAUAGUAAUUAAUUAACAAAUAUAUGUAAAUGGUAAUAAAAUAAAGUAGCGACGACGAUGACGAUAAUAAUAAUGAAUAAUUAUAAAUUAUAAAUAUGUAUAGUAAGAUAAUAGUUAAGAUAAUAAAUAUGAUUAGGAAUAAUUAUUUUCUUUUAACUUAGGAAACUUUACAAAAAGGAGAACUUUCCAAAUUUAAAAACUUUCUAAAAAUAGAAACUUUCCAAAUUAGAAAACUUUCUAAAAAUCGUUCAAUUUAGGAAAAGGCUGCUAGAGUUCAUAUAAUGGUUUAGACAUAAAUCUUCAACUCGUUUAGAGUUUGUAUAUUUAUGCAUCUAUAAGAAAUAUCAACUAAUUAGGAAACAUGUGCAUUUGAUAGGUACGAUACAAGUUUAAAAGAGCUAAGGUAGCCCUACUCGAGCAGCCAGGCAAAGAUAGGUGGUACUUACCCUUCUGAGAUUUCAAAGAUGCAAAAUGAAAUUUUGUUUUCAGUCCUAUUUUGUUGUGUUGACUUAAAAUGUAUUUGAUUAAAUGCAUUGAUUGAAUAUCCAUGAAAGUUAUAUUUUCCUAUACAAAAUGGACCAUGUGACUUAUUUGAAAUGUUUUGAUAGUUAUUAUAUACCAAACGAGCUGAAUCUUUUAUGAAAUCAAGGAUCUAUGUAUGUGACAUGUGGGAUGAAUUUUUGACAAGUAAAUCUUAAAACAGUCAUGAAAUAGACGGUAGGGGCUAUAGUCCUAUCUAAUCGUCAUGGUAGUUUGGUAUAAAGCCCGGCCGAUUGACAAGGUCAAGGUAGCCUGGUAUAGAGUCCGACCGAUUGACAAAGCCAUGGUAGCCUGGUAUAAAGUCCGGUCGAUUGGCAAGGUCAUGGUAGCCUGGUAUAAAGUCCGACCGAUUGACCCAUGUAUGAAAUGAAACCAAUCGGUAGUUAUGAAAUCUAUUGGUCGCUCACCUAAAAGGGGUUUAAUCUCUAGGCUGAGUACUCGGUAGCCGGUCAUCACAUGUACUUGUUAUGAGCUAAUAUGAAAUGAUUUAUGAGCUAAUAUGAAAUGAUUUAUGAGUUGAUAUGGAAUGAUUUAUGAACUGAUCUGAAAUGAGACUUGUGAACUGAUUUAUGAAUUUAUUUAUGAACGGAUAUGAAGACACUUGUGAAUUGAGACGAAAUGAUUUAUGGCUUUAUGAUUUUUCAUGUACAUUUAUCAAUAAGAUACUUUUAAAUUGUUUGCCACUCGUUACUACUGAUUCUUUUAUAAACGACAUUACUUUCAAGAUUAUGGAUGUGAUCAAUGCGCAAAUGGUUUGAUUUGUAUCUAUAUGUGUAUCUAUAAAGUUACGAGUACAUGGUCCAACAGAGGGGUAGAUAUUACCUACUGAGCGAUUUGUCGCUCAACCCACUUUUGAUGUGAAACCCCGAUCUAGACAACCAAAACACCAUGGCUUAGGCAGCGAAAAUUUGACCCAACUAAUCCCUAGAAGUCACGAACAAUUUUGAUAUUAUCUCAACCCGUAACUACUCGAAUUAACGAACCAAAUUGGAGGUAGUAGAACGCCACAAUCAAGGAGAUACUCGAUUGAUAAGUUCAGGUGAAUAACUUGAGAAGAUUCUCAAGUAUUCAAAGGAAACUCUCUUGCCAAAGAGAAAGUGAAAACUCACUAAUUGUAUUUAAUAGCCAAAAAACUGAUCUCAAAACAAAGAGGAAGUGGGGCUAUUUAUAGCCCUUACAAGCAUUAACCCUAAUCCAAAAAUUGACCAAACUACCCUACAUACUUAAGGAAGAUUUUGGGCCUCACUUACUAACAAAUGGACCGCAAUUAAACUAGUUUAAUUACCUAGACUUUCUAAAGCGAGAAAUAACCAAAAUCAACGAGGAAAAUCAAAUAAUCCUACUAAACUCAAGUAUUAGUGCAAUCAACUGGUUUUCACUUGAAUCUUCCAAUUCCCCAUGUGCUUGAAUGGGCCUUGGUCUUUAUAUUCUCAUCAUUCCCCUCCUCUUAAAGGCGAUUUGUCCCCAAAUCAUGACUCUCUUACAAAACAAAAGUGAUGAGAGCAUGUGUAUAGUCACCAAGCAGCCUGCAUGUCGCCUUCUUAAGCGAAGAAUGAUCAUGACAUCCUUGUAUGGAACAAGGACAACUCGUGGUGGUGGUAGAUACAUGUUGCGGACAGCAAGAUUUCCAUGACAAUGGUCACACAAGCGACGUCUCAACCCUAUGGGUGGAUCGUGAGCGGACACCCGGUGAACCAAGGUGUGGUUGGGCUGCGAGUUGUACGCAUCAAGACGUGCAAACACUGCAUCAAAGGCCAAUGUAACUCGACUCAUGUUGGUUGGAAUUACUUGACCAGCACUCUCUUCGCAGAUCUCUAUGGUUGCGGGUAUUGCACACUGCAAGAUGAAGGAUAUCUAACCACGAACAACCUGCACAAAUGAAAACACGUUAAACACCACCAAGAUGGAACAAUCCAACUCCCAGUGCCCGAUGUUGUCCUCAGGCUUAGCGAGCAGGAUCAAUGUUCGCCCUUUCUUUUCCUUGCCUUCUAAUCGAUCCAACUCCCAUUCCCUCUGUAAAAUAUUUUGGUCCUCUCGAACUUGUGUAGGUGAGAGUGGAACAAGUAUGAUCCUUAUCCCUUUAUGCAUGAACGAGUAUUUGUUGGAAUGACCUUCAUAAGUAACCUCGCGAUCAAAUUGCCAAGAUCUUCCAAGAACAACAUGGGCAGCUUGCAUAGGAACCACGUCACACACCAACUCAUCCUCAUAUCUCCCAAUGUUAAAUUUCACAGAAACCUGCUUGGACACUCGCACUUCGCCGCAAUCACUAAACCAUUGAAGCUUAUAUGGUGUAGGGUGAUCUUGGACAGGUAGGUGUAACUUCUUGACAAAUAAGGCACUGGCGACAUUGGUACAACUUCCUCUGUCGAUAAUUAAGCUACACACUUUCCCGUUAACUAGACAUCGGGUAUAGAAGAUGUUGGUACGCUGCUCUUCUUCAUUUGUGCGUUGAGCACUCAAUGCCAACAUUGUAACAAGGCCUAGUCCAACUGGUUGGUCAGGGGCAAUUAUCUCUUCUUCCUCAACCAAUAGUGGCAUGCCUUCAUACUCAUCCUCCUCAUCUGUUAGCACUUCACCACUUGGAAGCAUGAGCAUGGUCCUUCGGUUUGGGCAUUGGGACGCGAUGUGAUCGAAACCUUGACACUUAAAGCACUUAGUGUCGCGGUUUCUAGGUUUAUAUGCCCCUAGAUCAGCCUUAAAUUCGGCCCUUUGGGUCGGUGUUGAAGAUGACAAACUAGGCACCCAUGCUCCAUUCGAAACCCCACUUGCCUUGGCUGACUUUUGCUCACUUGUGUGGGUAAUCUCGCCUUUAUACUGCUGAGUUCUCCAAUUUCCAGAUUGGACGUUGGAGCUUUGGUGGGGGAUACCCCUCCUCUUGAGCCUCCUUUCCAUCUUGAUAGCUUUGUCCAAUAAUUCAUCCAUGUCAAGAUAAUGUUGGAGCUCCACAACAUCUGCAAUUUUAGCGUGUAGUCCUCUCAGGAAACGUGUCAUGGUUGCCUCUAUAUCCUCCCGAACAUCAGCCCGCAGCAUGGCCAUCUCCAUCUCCUUGAAGUAAUCCUCAACCGUCAUACUACCUUGAGUGAGAGUUUGCAAUUUAUGGUGCAAAUCCCUGUGAUAAUACGCUGGUAUGAAGCGCUUCCUCAUGAUCCUUUUGAGUUCUUCCUAGGUGCGAAUGAGUGGUGCUUCAUUUCUCCUUUGUCUGGUGCGAAUCUGAUCCCACCAAACGGCUGCGUAUUCAGUGAACUCAAUGGUUGUCAACUUUACUUUUUGGGACUCUGAGUAGUAGUUGCAGUCAAAGAGCAUCUCAAUCUUCCUCUCCCAUUCCAAAUAUGCUUCAGGGUCCGACUUGCCUGGGAAGGUAGGAAUUUUGAGCUUGAUUCCCUUUAGUUCAUCAUCCCCUUGAUUAGGGAUGCGUUUAUAAUUCCGGAAUCGGUUUCCAUCUGCCAUGUCCUCCUCAUUGUUCGAAUCACCUAACUCCUCCACGUAUGGUUGUCUCUUGGAGGCAUUCUUGCCUAGGGUUGAUUGCUCCACCUUAUCCUCCAGUGUAUCAAUUCUCUGAGCCAUGCGAUCAAUGGCGCCUGUUAAUGCUUCAAGAACGUGUUUCAUGUCAUAAGGGUCACUUUUCGCAUGAGUUUGAGACAUGUUUAUAGAGUACCUGCAAGGCUCAACAAACAGUUAGUAGAAAUUGCCUCACUCACUCCCUUAGUGUAUCACUCACCCUCGUGUAUGUCACUCAAAGCGCUCCAAUGGACUUACCAAACACCUUUACCUAUUGGGUUAGGUAGUUUGAGAAAUGCUGCUCAAACCCAAAUAAUUGUCACCAACUUCUUCCUCAAGAGUAAUCACGGAGAUGUAGGAGAAAGUGUAGGGAAGUGUUCCUAAAAGUUAGGAGAAAAUAUAGGAGAAAGUGUAGGAGAGUGUUCCUAAAAUCUAGAAAGAGAAUAUAGGAGAGUUUCCUAAAGUGGAUGAGAGAAUAUAGGAGAGUUUCCUAAAGUGGAUGAGAGAAUAUAGGAAAGAUCCUAAAAAUGUAUGAGAGAAUUUAGGAAAAUUUCCUAAAAAUAGAUGGGAGACUUUAGAAAAGUUUCCAAAAGAAAUGGAUGAGAGAGUUUAGGAAAGUUUUCUAAAAAAUGGAUGAGAGAAUUUAUGAAAAUUUCCUAAAAAAAUGGAUGAGAGAAUUUAGGAAAGUUUCCAAAAAAAAAUGAAUGACAGAGUUUGGGAAAGUUUCCUAAAAAGGUAGCAGAGAGAGUGUCCAAGUGAGUACAAAGAGUUAUCCAAGUGCUUUACUUAGUUUCCUAAUUGAUUUUGAAAACAAGUUAGUUUUUGGAAACCCUUUGAAAAUCCUUUUCCUCUUGAAAAACUUUUGGUAACCUUCUUGAAACAACUUUUGGUAAUCUUCUUGAAACAACUUUUGGUAACCUUCUUGAAACAACCUUUGGUAAUCUUCUUGAAACAACUUUUGGUAACUUCCAAAUUCUACUCCAAGAAAGAUUGCACAAAUCAGAUUUGGUUCCCUAUUCAAAACAAUUCGGUUGCCAAUUUCUUUCCUUUCCUUUUUUUUUUUUUUUUGCCAACCGAUUCCUCUUUUCUUUCUUUUUCUUUUCGUUUUUGUUUUCUGUUUUUUUUUGACUACAACUAUCAACCACGACACAAAACAAGGAAGUCCACAAAUAAUAACUACCAAGAACUCCAAGAUCUUUCAAGAACUUUCAAGGAAGUUGUCAGGAACUUCAGAAAUUUCAAGAUUGUGAUCAAGAAUGCAAGAAACUCAAGAUUAUUGUAAGUUCUCUUCAAGAUUCACAAAAUUCCAACAAGUUUUGCCAAAAUCCAGAUUUGAAAACCAAGUAAACAAGUUGGAUAACACAAACAACAAGGCUGGACAGAUUUGUAUUCGGAUUAACAGUAACUAUGAACAAUGUCGGUGAACAGUACGGUGAACAUUACGAUGAACAGUGUUGGGUGAACACUACAGGUGAACAGUGACUCUUUUUUUUUUUUUUUUUGGUUCUAAACAAACGAACAAAUUGGGAUAAACAUAUAUGACUCGAAAUAAACGAAAAAAAAAAGAUAUAACCUGGUAGUUGUCGACUAGCUCUGGUACCAACUGAUGUGAAACCCCGAUCUAGACAACCAAAACACCAUGGCUUAGGCAGCGGAAAUUUGACCCAACUAAUCCCUAGAAGUCACGAACAAUUUUGAUAUUAUCUCAACCCAUAACUACUCGAAUUAACGAACCAAAUUGGAGGUAGUAGAACGCCACAAUCAAGGAGAUACUCGAUUGAUAAGUUCGAGUGAAUAACUUGAGAAGAUUCUCAAGUAUUCAAAGGAAACUCUCUUGCCAAAGAGAAAGUGAAAACUCACUAAUUGUAUUUAAUAGCCAAAAAACUGAUCUCAAAACAAAGAGGAAGUGGGGCUAUUUAUAGCCCUUACAAGCAUUAACCCUAAUCCAAAAAUUGACCAAACUACUCUACAUACGUAAGGAAGAUUUUGGGCCUCACUUAUUAACAAAUGGGCCGCAAUUAAACUAGCUUAAUUACCUAGAUUUUCUAAUGCGAGAAAUAACCAAAUCAACGAGAAAAAUCAAACUUUUUACCAUCUUUGCAGAUUGGGAAGAGUACGAAUUGAUUUACGUAGAAGACCCUGAGGACGACUUUAUUAGUUUUUAAGUGAACUAACUACUUCUAGCUGUUAAUUUUAUUUACCUUUUUUCCGCUGUUUCGACCAGAGAAUAAAUGUAUGAAUUUAUUGGAUAUUUGUAGACUACUUUUUAUAUGAUAUUUGUACUGCACUUUAUGUAGUUAUAUUAUUUAGUACUUUUAAAGUUUAGUAUAGUUAAAUGUUGCCUUGUAUUAUUGAGUGGGACUUGAGAGUACGGCGGAUGUCACAUGAUGGUCACGUGCGGGCUCAGGGGCUUGGCAAUUAGCAUAUCCCUGUAGAAGAACAUAUAUGGCCUAUACCAAAUUUCUUUACGGACCACCUCAUACAACUAAAAAGUAAAAGACAAAUGUAAGAAAAAGGAAAGACGUUACAGUUUAAUUACUGAUCCAUCUAUCAGUAGUAAAAGUUUGUACAAGCCUUAGAAUACAAGGUGUACGCUACAAUGAGAGAGUGGGUAGGACAUUUACAAUAACUUGUUAAUCUAGAGUUUUGAACCAAAAGAAUAACAAAAAACUCAAAGGCAAACACCAUGUCCAGAAUUCACUCGCAUAAGCACCAUAGGAGUACAAUGCAAAUCAGUUUCUUUUCAAUGAAUUUCAUGAUAUUGGUAUCUAAGUUCUAGCUCAUUCACAUUUCUGACAGCAAAUGGCUAUAGCAGUAUAAUCUAGAGUUUUGAACCAAAAGAAUAACGAAACUCAAAGGCAAACACCAAGUUCAAAUUUACUCGCAUAAGCACCAUAGGAGUACAAUGCAAAUCAGUUUCUUUUUAAUGAAUGUCAUGAUAUUAGUAUCUAAAUUCUAGCUCAUGCGAAUUUCUGACAACAAAUGGCCAUAGCAGUAUUCUGGUUUAUAAAAGAGACACACACCCUUACUUGUUUUCUCUAUACUUGAAUGCAGAAGUCCAAAGAACUAAUUUCACGGCUACAUUUAUAUGUGUAUGUCAGCUAGAGUUGCAAACACGGAGUAUUUCAGUUGUUCAAACCUAUCUAUAACUAAUGUGCAUGUGUAAGAUUGUGGAUGUGUGAAUUUGUUCUAGGCCUAAUACCACAGCCACUUGCAGAUCCUUUGUGCUAAAAAGAAUGGGUGAAGUUAAGAGCUUAGGUAAUUUGUUUCUCUUUCUUGAUUUCAGUAGAUGAGUAUGGUUAUUUGUCACUGAAUGAACCCUUUUCAGUGGCAAAUAUGCAAAGCUAAUGUCUAAAAUCCCGUCCAUUUUAUAUGCAUCCACAAUGGUCUAGACUUGGGUAGACUCGGAUUGUUCAAAGACCCAAUGACCCAAAUUGUGCCACACCAUCUCUACUAUAAAGGUAUAGUGGAAUUGAUUUUCAAUUUCCAAGCCAUCACUGAGGUAUUUCAAAAACCAGGUCCACUGCUCUAUAGCUUCCCUUUCUACAGCAACCCUGGCAAUAUGCCACCACCUAUUAUUAGGGUCAGCAGCAUUGGUAGUCAAUAACUGCCUCUAUAAGUCCCCUUUAGAUGUCACCUAUCCAAACCUAUUAUUGGCCUACAAUCAUCCUUAAAUCCUUUCUUCAAUGGCCCCAAAUAGCAGUAUAUGGUAAAAGCAAAUAAUUAGGUCAAAGUCAUUUUCACUCCAUUUUAUGGAGCGGAAGACAGCUCGUCGCAGACAAAAAUGCCCUUUGUAUUUCAGCGUGCUUUUGACGUGUUAUUAGCUACUGAACUUAACAGAUGGCCCAACAUUUUGCACUUUGGACAGAUUAGGAGGCCAAAAGUUCACCCAGCUAAUACUUUGAAGGCCACUAAGACUUUUUUCCCUUUAAAGAAUAUGUGUUUAUCACCACAUAAGGUUAUGCAGCGACAGACACACUCUUUUAAACACAAUUUUUUAUUUUUUUUUUACAAUGAACUAUAGCUUCACAAUUUUUUUUUCUAAAAAUUGUACAGAUUAAUUAAAUUCCUUGCACAAUUUUUUUAGCUAAAAAUUUUACAGAUUAAUUAAAGUCUUGUUAAUUAGUUAAUGUCCACAUAAAUCAUAAAAUCGCAAAAUCGUCUUAAAGUGACGUGAAAUUUGAAGUGAGGAAUUCUAAUAAAAAUUAUGUAAGUUUUACAUGUUAAGAAAAAAACUACUAGAUCUUGAAAUCCAUCCAAGCCCCUUGCAUUUACCACAUGGAGUGGUAUAGCAGUCCCAUUUUUUGUGAACGUUCGUGUGAUAGAUCUAUAGUCGCUCGAUUCUCCUAAGUUGUACCUGCAAUCCUAUAUGCACCUGUUCUUUCUCAUAAAUCAAGGAGCCUAUCAUAGGAGUCUUCCCACAACUGGGACAAGAUAGAUAGUAGAAGUAGCGGACCGAUCCACACUAGGAGUAGAGUAAUUGAUCACCUGUUCUACAGAUGGUCGAACAACAGAACUAGGGGAUCACCUGCACGUGGUUGAUUACUCUACUCCUGAUGCGGAUCGAUCGAUUAGCCAAAAUAGGGGUUCAUCACCUGCUCUUGGUCGACUACUCUACUCCAUGGAUCGGGUUCGCUAUUUCUAUCGAUCUACUCUAAUCGAUUUGCUACUUCCAUCGAUAUAUCCUAUCCUGGGAAAACUCCUGUGAUGGAAUCCUCGAUUCUUCUUGCCUGUGCAACCUAAGAGGUCCAAACAAUUGCAGCUUGUACAAAAUCUACGAAAGAGGUCCAAACAAUUGUAGUUUGUACAAAAUCUACCACACAGAAGAUUACACUGGAAAUGCGACUCCUCUACCAUUUCACGCGAUAAAGGUAAGCAUAAUUGAAUUUCAUGACCUAAUAAUUUUUUUCUUAAUAUGUAAAACUUAUAUCAUUUUUAUUAAAAUUCCUCACUUCAAAUUUCACAACACUUUAAGAUGAUUUUGCAAUUUUAUGAUUUUAUGUGGACAUUAACUAAGUAACUAAAUUUUAUUUCAUUUAUACAAUUUUUUUAGAUAACAUAAAUUGUGCAAAGACUUUAAUUAAUCUGUACAACAUAAAUUGUACAACUUUUCAUUUAUGCAAUUAUAAUUCAUUUAAAAGAGUGAGUCUAUUGCCGCAAAAGCUUAUGCUGCCACAAACACAUAUUUUUUUAAAAAUUAUGUUUCAACAAUUUUGUUUAAAAGAAUUAUUUUGAGAAAAAAUUGUGUUUAUCACUGCAUAAGCUUCUAGAGCUACAUACAUGUUCUAAAAAAAAGUUUUAAAAAAAUUGAGUUGUGUGCAACAACAAACACAUUCUUUAAAAAAAAAAAAAAAAUUGUAUCAGACACCAAGUAUGACACUUCUAUUUCAACGACGUUAAUAUUAGAAGCAUAUCUCAAAGAGAUGGGAUCCUCUGUCCAUUUUUUCUGUCUAAUGCAAAACUACGUAGUUCCACUUACUAUUACUGCUGAUGUGGCACAUAACAUUGAAUGCAUAUUUAGGGGGAUGUUUAAUAAGUGAGUUUCAAAUUCAAUAUUAUCCAUAAAUGAUGUUUGUUUAUACCUAGUUGUAUCCAUAAUCUUCUACUUUGAAAUUUCAUGCCACAUGAUUCAGAUGAAAUUAGGCAAGCAUUUGAAAACGAGAUCCUUGAAUUUAUCAGAGUUACAAUUACGUGCAGUCAUGUUGAUAAGUUCCAUUUUUAUCAUUAAUUUUACUAUUGUUUCCCUCGUUUAUUCUACCAAAUAUUGCGUUAAUUGGCGAGUUUUACUCAUUUUUGGUAAUUGUGUUAGUUGCAGGGAUUUAAAGCAAAAAGUAAUUAAAAGGCGUGAUUUUUUACUGGAUCUGCUGUUCAGCGUAGGCACGUGGAAGUUUAACUUUUUCAUGCCCGGAGAUCUUGGGAGUUGAAGCGGAAGUUCCAGCCGUUGAAGUCUCGAAGUCCGAUCACAGAUGCUUCAUCAUAUGAUCAUUGUUGAUCUUUUCGGAUAAGAUGAUUUGUUAGAUCAAUUUGAUUUGGCUAAAUAAUAGUAGUCUACUAAUAGUAGGAAACAUGCGGUAUUAUUGAUAGUAGAAGCUGAAUAGGAAACAAAAAGAGAGAAAAAGCCGGAUUCCUAUUUGAUUAGGAGUUGGCCAGCAACAAUUUCGGGAUGAAUUCUUUUGAAGUAUUAGGCCGUCACUUGUCUUUCGGCCGAGUCUCUUUCAUUAGUCUUUAGGCAAAAACCAAUUGUUAUCAAUAGAGUCCUACGGAUUUCCCUUGAAGAUGCGUAGCUAAAUCUCCAUUUUCUAGUUGGAUGUCAACUUGAAAACUUGAUUCCAUACAUUUGUAAGAUCGAAUUAUUUUACUUAUUUCUUUUAUUCAUUGAUAUUCGUAGGUUUUCUGAUUUAACUUCUUAUGAUUAUUUUAUUGUUUGAAUAUUAAUGGUUCGAUAUUCGAAUUAACCUAAUAAUUUAUUGACAGAUUAAUUGAUUGAAUCCGUAAUUAUUUAAUCAAUUAAUACCAGUGCGCGACUAACGUGAUUGGUCCCAUGUUAGGAAAACGUAUGAUCUAAUUUAAACAAACUCUUGUAGCGUGACUUUUCUAAUUCUUAAUGCAAGUGAGAAAUUGAAUCCUACAACCAUAACUAGGGUUAUUUCUUAGUUAGGAAAAUAGUCGACAGACAUACCUUGACUAUCGAAAAAAUAAGAAAAAGUUGGUUAUUUAUUACGUGUAUGGCAACUAUAACCAAUAUAUUAAUAAAUAAUUGAAUUAUCAUUGCAUCGAUGAUCAGUUGAAUGAACCGUGUCUGAAAAAUUACACCUUUGGUUAGAGUCGUGCUUAUUAUCGAUUAAUUCCUAUUAAUUUCCGUUAGUUGUUUUAUUAGUUGGUUAAUUAGUCUCUGUUUGGAUCCCCUAUUUUUUAAGUGUUUUUCAAAUACAAUAAAAAUUUUUAAAAAGUACUCUAAAAGGUAAUUUAAAAAUUAGUUCAAAUUUUUUAAAAUUUUAAAAAUUAUUUCAAAAUAUAUUCUAGAAACUCUUCUACUCUUUAAUAUUUCAAAAUAUUUUCUAAAAAUAUUCCAAAAUACAUUCUAAAAACUCUGUUACAGCAAAGUUUUUAAAUAUUUCCAAACGGCUAACCCAAAACUAUUUUCAAAAAUCCCCCAUGCUCUGAACUCUAGAAAAAAUGAAUUAUCCCCGAUCCCUGUAGAUUCGACCUUAUUCACCGCUAUAUACAAAUUGUAUUUUUCUUGAGUAAGUAAUUAUUAUUGUACAGGCUCGACACUUGUCACAUGUUGAUUCAGAGAGUAGGCUAUCCAUAUUAAAAUUGAAUUUGCAAUCCAUUUACCAAACACACUCUAAAUAUGCAUUCAAUAUUAUGUGCCACACAAACAGUAUUAAUAAAUAAAACUACGUAAUUUUGCAUUGGACAGAAAAGUGAACAAACAUAAUGGGCAGAAGAUCCCAUCUCCUCAAAAACUCUCACUUUUAAGACAAAUCUAUUUUUGCGAAUUAUUUUAAGAAAUUAGCCGGAUAUCACGGGAGUUUGUCUCUCUGUGCCCAUAGAUAAGCUUUUUCUCACAUGGAUAUCUUAAGAGUUUUCUUUCCUAGUGCCCAUAGAGUAAGCUUUUUUCUCAUUGCAGCAUCCACUACUACUCAUCCAUCUACAUCGUCCUUUUCCCAUUGUUGAUCAUCAAAUAAGUCCUCAGGUGGGUCGUAAACAAUCAUAUUAGGGAAAAGUUCCAAGAAGUCAUCCUUUAUUUUUUCCCUCAAUUCUGGAUAUGGGAGGAGCCCCUUCAAGAUCACUCUAUAAGGCAAUGAUAGCAGGGGAUCAGGAGAUAGCCUCAUUUCCUCGUAUAUGUCCAUUGCUUCCUUCGGUAGUCCACUGUCUAAGAAG
rnacentral:lncRNA from 1 species